CCUACGGGAGGCAGCAGUGGGGAAUUUUGGACAAUGGGCGAAAGCCUGAUCCAGCAAUGCCGCGUGUGGGAAGAAGGCCUUCGGGUUGUAAACCACUUUUGUACGGAACGAAACGGUUCGCUUUAAUACAGUGGGCUAAUGACGGUACCGUAAGAAUAAGCACCGGCUAACUACGUGCCAGCAGCCGCGGUAAUACGUAGGGUGCGAGCGUUAAUCGGAAUUACUGGGCGUAAAGCGUGCGCAGGCGGUUAUAUAAGACAGUUGUGAAAUCCCCGGGCUCAACCUGGGAAUUGCAUCUGUGACUGUAUAGCUAGAGUACGGUAGAGGGGGAUGGAAUUCCGCGUGUAGCAGUGAAAUGCGUAGAUAUGCGGAGGAACACCGAUGGCGAAGGCAAUCCCCUGGACCUGUACUGACGCUCAUGCACGAAAGCGUGGGGAGCAAACAGGAUUAGAUACCCUGGUAGUCCACGCCCUAAACGAUGUCAACUGGUUGUUGGGUGCAUAGUACUCAGUAACGAAGACCACGCGUGUAGUAGACCGCCGNGGGAGGUACGGCCGGCGAGGUAAGGUAACGUACGAAGAAGUAGUUACGGCGUGAGACGNGCGACGGACGACGACGAGGGAGGAGG
rnacentral:rRNA from 1 species